rnacentral:lncRNA from 1 species
UUGUAAAAAAACAUCAAAAUCGGAGUUAAAAUGACCGUUAAAUCGUGAUUUUUCGUUUAUAACCGUCGAAAAGUUUUGUCCCGUUACUUGAUAUCUGAAUGUUUGUUUUUUGUAAUUUUUGACGUAUGCGAUCUUGAAGUAUAUACAAACAUGUUUGACGGUUGGAUCUUUGAAACUAGUUUCGUAGAAUGAGUAUCCCAUCAAAACAAUAGAUUCACUAAUACGUAAUAGUUUAUUCAUACUUUUAUUAAGUAUAAUAUAAGAUUUUGUGGUUUUUACUAGUGUAAAUAUUUUAAAUUGAAGAUCGAAUUCAAUCAUUGUAUUCAUAUAAGGUCAAGGAGUGUAGCUGCAAAAAAUCAUCAAAAUUAGAGUUAAAAUGACCGUUAAAUCGUGAUUUUUCUUUUUAUAACCGUCGAAAAGUUUUGUCCCGUUAAUUGAUCUCUGAAUGUUUUUUUUUUGUAAUUUUUGACGUAUGCGAUCUCGAAGUAUAUACAAACAUGUUUGAUGGUUGGAUCUUUGAAACUAGUUUCGUAGAAUGAGUAUCCCAUCAAAACAAUAGAUUCACUAAUACCUAAGAGUUUAUUCAUACUUUUAUUAAGUAUAACAUAAGAUUUUGUGGUAUCCACUAGUGUAAAUAUUUUAAAUUGAAGAUCAAAUUUAAUCAUUGUAUUCAUAUAGGGACAAUAU